CACACCCUAGGGCUCUGUGACCUCUGUCCCAGCCUGGAGAAGCAACUGUUAGUGUUCCCGGGACACAAGUGUGGGAGUCUGCAACUUGUGGACCUGGCGAGCACAAAGCCUGGCACCUCGUCUGCUCCAUUCACGAUCAAUGCACAUCAGAGUGACAUAGCCUGUGUGUCUCUAAACCAGCCAGGCACUGUAGUGGCCUCAGCCUCCCAGAAGGGUACCCUUAUUCGCCUCUUUGACACACAAUCCAAGGAGAAACUGGUAGAGCUGCGCCGAGGCACUGACCCUGCCACCCUCUACUGGUGAGCACAGGGUAUGCAUGGUGGGCUGGUGACCCCAUACCACAUGACAUAUGGGCAUCACUGCUGAUCUGUCUUCUAGCAUUAACUUCAGCCACGACUCCUCCUUCCUCUGCGCUUCCAGUGAUAAGGGCACCGUCCAUAUCUUUGCUCUCAAGGAUACCCGCCUCAACCGCCGCUCCGCGUGAGUACCCCCUCCCCACCCUACCGUGUCCCUGUCCCCCUGCCCGUUUACCAUACCUGGGCUUAGCCGGUGCUGCCUGCAGGCUGGCUCGCGUGGGCAAGGUGGGGCCUAUGAUUGGGCAGUACGUGGACUCUCAGUGGAGCCUGGCGAGCUUCACUGUGCCUGCUGAGUCAGCUUGCAUCUGCGCCUUCGGUCGCAAUACUUCCAAGAACGUCAACUCUGUCAUUGGUGAGUGGGAACAGCCCCUUGGUUGGGGGUACUGCAUGGGGCAAAGAACUGCGGGUUGGACCUGAAAGGAUUUUAGGGCCCUGUGAGGCUCAGCUUCAUCAUCAGUAAGGGGGACAGCACUGGGCAAAGGCCUGGAGGCAGACCCUAGGUCCUGAGAUGCCUGAGAGGACUGGAGCCUGUGGCUGUGGCAGCCUCUGACCUUUUACCACCACCCCCCUCCCCAGCCAUCUGCGUAGAUGGGACCUUCCACAAAUAUGUCUUCACCCCCGAUGGAAACUGCAACAGAGAGGCUUUCGACGUGUACCUUGACAUCUGUGAUGAUGAUGACUUUUAAGGACCCUGGGGGCUGUGCUAGGGACCUGCAGUGGCAGACUGCAGAGCUGAGCCUUGGCAGUGGGGCGUGCUUGGAAGCCACCAGCCAGCAAGCAUUAAUGGGGCUGGUGCCCACUUUCCACUCAGCAGAGCUA
rnacentral:sRNA from 1 species